rnacentral:rRNA from 1 species
CCUACGGGGGGCAGCAGUCGAGAAUCAUUCACAAUGGGGGAAACCCUGAUGGUGCGACGCCGCGUGGGGGAAUGAAGGUCUUCGGAUUGUAAACCCCUGUCAUGUGGGCGCAAAUUAAAAAGAUAGUACCACAAGAGGAAGAGACGGCUAACUCUGUGCCAGCAGCCGCGGUAAUACCGAGGGCUCAAGCGUUGUUCGGAAUCACUGGGCGUAAGGCGUGCGUAGGCUGUUUCGUAAGUCGUGUGUGAAAGGCGCGGGCUCAACCCGCGGACGGCACAUGAUACUGCGAGACUAGAGUAAUGGAGGGGGAACCGGAAUUCUCGGUGUAGCAGUGAAAUGCGUAGAGAUCGAGAGGAACACUCGUGGCGAAGGCGGGUUCCUGGACAUUAACUGACGCUGAGGCACGAAGGCCAGGGGAGCGAAAGGGAUUAGAUACCCUAGUAGUC